GUCUACGGCCAUACCACCCUGAACGCACCCGAUCUCGUCUGAUCUCGGAAGCUAAGCAGGGUCGGGCCUGGUUAGUACUUGGAUGGGAAUCUGCACAGUACUUUAGGUAGUAUGGACA
rnacentral:rRNA from 1 species